GACGAACGCUGGCGGCGCGCUUAACACAUGCAAGUCGAGCGAGAACCAGUCCUGGACGUGGGACGAGCGGCGAACGGGUGAGUAACACGUGAGUAAUCAACCCUUGGUACCGGGAUAGCCCGAGGAAACUCGGAUUAAUACCGGAUGGCCCAACAGCUUUACGGAGCGGUUGGAAAAGGUAGCUUCGGCCUCCGACCAAGACGAGCUCGCGGCGGAUUAGCUUGUUGGUGGGGUAACGGCCUACCAAGGCGACGAUCCGUAGCUGGUCUGAGAGGACGAUCAGCCACACUGGGACUGAGACACGGCCCAGACUCCUACGGGAGGCAGCAGUGGGGAAUCUUGCGCAAUGGGCGAAAGCCUGACGCAGCGACGCCGCGUU
rnacentral:rRNA from 1 species